rnacentral:rRNA from 1 species
GAAAUGCGAUAAGUAAUGUGAAUUGCAGAAUUCAGUGAAUCAUCGAAUCUUUGAACGCAUCUUGCGCUCCUUGGUAUUCCGAGGAGCAUGCCUGUUUGAGUGUCAUUAAAUUCUCUCAAAACRUGCACUUGAGUGAUUGUGUGUUUUGGAUUGUUGGGAGUCUGCUGGUUUUGGGCCAGCUCUCCUUAAAAACAUUAGCUUUGGGAGGGAUGUGCUGAGUCACUUCUGCCAUUCCAUUGGUGUGAUAGAUUAACGUUUAUAUCUACACCAGGUUUGCAGGUGUCACGCAUUUUUAAUCUCUCUGCUCUCUAAUUGAGACCCCUUUGUCUCUUCUGAAAACUUGACCUCAAAUCAGGUAGGACUACCCGCUGAACUUAA